CCCCCCCCCCCCCCCCCCCCCCCCCCCCCCCCCCCCCCCCCCCCCCCCCCCCCCCCCCCCCCCCCCCAUCCCUGUGUCCCUGUCACCUCGAGUGUCCCCAGUGUCCCUCCCUGUGUCCCUGUCACCUCCCCCACUCGAGUGUCCUCGAUGUCCCUCCCUGUGUCCCUGUCACCCCCCACUGAGUGUCCCCAAUGUCCCACUGCCCCCGCCAGUGUCCCUGUCCCCGAUGUCCCCACCUGUGGCACACACGGACUCGGGGCACCAUGGUGGCCCCGUACUGCAGGGACGAGACGCGGUGACAGCCCAGGGAGUAGCGGGUCUGAGCCAGGGACAGCCACCCCUGCGGGGACAUUGGGGACACUGGGGACACAGCACAGGGACAGCCACCCCUGCUGGGACAUUGGGGACACUGGGGACACAGCACAGGGACAGCCACCCCUGCUGGGACAUUGGGGACACAGCACAGGGCCACCCCUGCGGGGACAUUUAGGGGGACAGAAGGACAGCCAUCCCUGGGGACACAGGGACACGAGGUCAGGGACAGCCACCUGGGGGGACACAGGGGACAUCGCUCACAGCCAGCCCUGGGGACAUGGGGACGACGAGGCCCCGUGGCGUGUCCCUUUGUGUCCCCACAGUGGGUGACAUGUCCCAGGACAGGUGGGGUGUCCCCAGCCAUGUCCCCACAGCAGGGGACUGUCCCCAGGUGUGUCCCCGUGGGGUUGGCACACACCUGUAGUGGGUGACACGCGUCAGGUGUGUCCCCGUGGCAGGUGGCACCUCCUCACACGUGUCCCCACGAGGACUGGGGUGUCCCUGUUGUGUCCCCGUGUCCCCUCACCUGCCGCAGGUGCUGCUCCAGCUGCUCCCGGCCGCUGCUGCAGCAGCUCCAGCGCCUCCAUCACCUCCAGCGCGGCCGCGUCCAGCGACAGCGACAGCGACCCUGGCGGGGAGACACGGCUCAGGACCCCACGGGCACCCCCAGACCCACCAAAACCAUCCCACACCCCGGGACCGGCCCGGAGUCCCCACGGUGUCACCCGUGCCCCCGCAGACCCCCCCAGGCACCCCCCCCCCCCC
rnacentral:lncRNA from 12 species